rnacentral:rRNA from 1 species
GACGAACGCUGGCGGCGUGCUUAACACAUGCAAGUCGAACGGAAAGGCCCUGCUUGCCGGGUACUCGAGUGGCGAACGGGUGAGUAACACGUGGGUGAUCUGCCCUGCACUUCGGGAUAAGCCUGGGAAACUGGGUCUAAUACCGGAUAGGAGCCAUUUUUAGUGUGAUGGUUGGAAAGUUUUUUCGGUGUAGGAUGAGCUCGCGGCCUAUCAGCUUGUUGGUGGGGUAAUGGCCUACCAAGGCGGCGACGGGUAGCCGGCCUGAGAGGGUGGACGGCCACAUUGGGACUGAGAUACGGCCCAGACUCCUACGGGAGGCAGCAGUGGGGAAUAUUGCACAAUGGGCGCAAGCCUGAUGCAGCGGCGCCGCGUGGGGGAUGACGGCCUUCGGGUUGUAAACUCCUUUCGCUAGGGACGAAGCUUUUUGUGACGGUACCUAGAUAAGAAGCACCGGCUAACUACGUG